rnacentral:lncRNA from 1 species
CCUGAGCUGGGCCGAGCAAAAGCUCGAUCGAAAAAUUAAGGCUUGACCCGAGUAUUCGGCUCAGGCUUUACCGAGUCGAGCCGGACCGAGCUCGAUUUCUGGUUCCCCCCUGUACCUCUUUAAGCUGCCAAACAGGCAGCAGAUUUGCAACAUGUUGGCUGCCUUAACCUGUAGCUAUGAAGCUGCCAAACAGGCAGCAGAUUUUUCAUCUUUUUUUUUUAUACGGGCCAGUCUGGCUCGAGCCAACUCUCAAAAAUGAGGCUCGACCUGAGCUUUGGCUCAGUAUCUCCGAGCCGACUCGAGCUUUUUUUGAACCAAGCUACGAGCGGCCCGAGCCCGAUUGCCAUCCCUAUCAUACGUACGCAGAGCUGACCCAAAGACUAAUCACCCUAGUACACGGUCCAAAGCCUAUGUGUGUACGAGAGUGGGUUCCAAAGAUCUCUGAUAAUCUGGUCAUACACUAUGGAAAUACAUUCACAAUAAUGUGGAGCGAGUAAAAUCACCAUAACUGGUGAUACACUGUGGAAACACAUUCACACCAGUGCAGAUUAGGGUAAAAACACCUGGGUACUUUCUUGUGGUUUUAAAAAUAACUUUAAAUAUGCUAAAAUAUUUAAUACUCAUAUAACAUCCCAAUGAAAUAGUUUAGCUGAACUGAAUUUAACUUUUAGAAGCAUUGCUUAUUUAAAAAAAAAAAAAAAAAAAAACUUAAUUCUAAAAAUCACACUUUCUAAAUCAAUCAUGUGAAAUAAAUAAAUUGUGCAACUGUUAUGAUUUGCUAUAAGAAAUCUAAUGAACAAUUAUUUCAUAUAAGCUUGAGAAAUAAUAAAAUUUAAAUAAAUGCUUGUUUCUGAAAAGUAGAUAUCCACUUACCAAGUCAUAGUCGAUCAUGAUUUCAAUCUUCUCGAACCACUUCAACUUCAAAUAUCAAGUAUGAUAUUAUGCACUCGCUCUAGUAAAUCAUAUCUCCUUACAAAGGUGCCUUGAAAGUAUUUUCCUACCAUUUGAAAUAUUAAUUUACCAAUGGGAACUUGAAAUAUUUUAUUUUCCACCUCAUAAUCCCAAUUAAGGUCACUAACAACAUAUACUCCUUUAUAUAAAUUAUUCAAACACCAAAACUCCAAAUAUUUAACACUUAAUUUGCUUCAAAUACUAAAAAUCCACGAAAAUUAGAUGAUUGACAAUAGUAGCACUAUAAUUUCAAAAUAUUGAAAACUAGUACCAAUGUCUAUAUAUUGAAAUCUGUCAUCGAAAACAUUGAAAAAACUAGCACUUUUCUAGGUAGGAUUUCCAAAAUAGCACGUGUAGGAUUUGUCCAAAAAUUGCUUAUAAUUAUUACUUAAAAAUGGAGAAAUCAACCCCAAUUCCUUAAUUUAAGUGCUUCACAUCAUAUAAUCCCAAGAAAAUCAAUGAAUAAGUAUCUAUUUCAUAAACCCAUUUUCAAAGUUUCUCCCCCUUUCUUUUCUUUCUUCCAACGCCAAUCUUUCAAUAUGUAUUUCUUUAACAUGUUCAUGUUUAAUACCUCAAAUAAAUGUCAAUAACCUCUAAUUCUAGCUAACUUCAAAUAUAACCAAAUUUUCCAUAAACCCUAAAAGAAAACUUAAUUCAAUAUACUUACACUUUUCAAAAUCAAAUGAGAACUUGAAGAAAUGGAGUACCAAGCUUGGAAAUCCACUUCCUCUUCUUCUUCUCCUCUUCCUUUCUUUCUUCCCUUCUCUCGGUCUUUCUCGAAUUUUGCCCCCAAAAAUGAGGAAAAAAAUGGAUGUUUAUCUCUUAAGUUAAUGGAUAAUUAUGGGGUAAUUGCAAGUCAAGUCCCCCAAUCUUCUUACAAUAUCACAUUUAGUCCUCACAUCUUCAAAAAUAGAAACUAAGCCCUUGUUUGAUUUUCAUUACAUUACAUUACAUUACAUUCUAUUUUUCUCUCUUCUAUUUUCAACCACACAAUCUUCCAUAAAAUAAUAUUACACGUAAAUCGAAAAUUUUUCUUUCUUUUUCAACCACUCAUUUUUCAAAAAACACUAUUCUAUACAUUAAAUUUUCCCCGUAAUGGGGGCCAAACAGGGGCUAAAUCCCUAGAUCCCUAUAUUACA